rnacentral:rRNA from 1 species
CAUUAAAGAGUUCUAUAACUCCCAAACCCAUGUGAACAUACCUAACGUUGCCUCGGCAGGUCGCACCUACCUUGUAGCACCCUACCCUGUAGGGCCUACCCGGGAGGUGCGGGUAAGCCUGCCGGCGGCCCACCAAACUCUGUUUGAUAUUGAAUUCUGAACCUAUAACUAAAUAAGUUAAAACUUUCAACAACGGAUCUCUUGGUUCUGGCAUCGAUGAAGAACGCAGCGAAAUGCGAUAAGUAAUGUGAAUUGCAGAAUUCAGUGAAUCAUCGAAUCUUUGAACGCAUAUUGCGCCCAUUAGUAUUCUAGUGGGCAGGACCGUUCGAGCGUCAUUUCAACCCUUAAGCCUUCGUUGCUUAGUGUUGGGAGCCUACGGCAACGUAGCUCCUCAAAGUUAGUGGCGGAGUUGGUUCACACUCUAGACGUAGUAAUUUUUUAUCUCGCCUAUUAGUUGGACUAAUCCCCUGCCGUAAAACCCCCAAUUUAUCAAGGUUGACCUCGAAUCGGUUCAGACAAACUCGCUAAAUUGAAGCAUCUUAGUCAGCGAAGGAAAAGAAACCAACAGGGAUUGCCCUAGUAACGGCGAGUGAAGCGGCAACAGCUCAAAUUUGAAAUCUGGCCCUCGGGUCCGAGUUGUAAUUUGUAGAGGAUGCUUUUGGCGCGGUGCCUUCCGAGUUCCCUGGAACGGGACGCCUUAGAGGGUGAGAGCCCCGUACGGUUGGACACCAAGCCUCUGUAAAGCUCCUUCGACGAGUCGAGUAGCUUGGGAAUGCUGCUCUAAAUGGGAGGUAAAUUUCUUCU